rfam:Papilio xuthus contig9604, whole genome shotgun sequence.
GUGUCGGUGGCUUUGGUUAAAGCACUUGACUUGUAAUCUACAGGUUCUGGGUUCGAAUCCCAGCAUGUACC